GAGGAACGACUCACCUUGAUGGAAGGAAUGUGAAGGAACGAUCACCUUGAUGGAAGGAACGUCAGAGGAAACGACCACCUUGAUGGAAGGAAUGUGAGAGGACGAUCACCUUGAUGGAAGGAACGUCAGAGGAAACGACCACCUUGAUGGAAGGAAUGUGAGAGGAACGAUCACCUUGAUGGAAGGAAUGUUGAAGGAAAUGGUCACUUUGAUGGAAGGAAUGUCUGAGUAAACGGUCACCUGGAUGGAAGGAACGUCUGAGGAAACAUUCACCUGGAUGGAAGGAACGUUGGAGGAAACAUUGUCGGGAGAUGCAGCGGUACAAGGAGGUUUAUGAGAAAUCCAAAGGCCCAGAACCUCUUCAUACCCGAUGUAGAGUUCCAGCAUUCCAAGAACAUCCGCGCGUUCAUCUCUGAGUUCAAGUACAAAGGUGAGAAAGUCUCCUCUGGUUCGGCUUACUCUCAACUUCCUGAGACGAUGGAGACGGAGAGAGAGAGAGAGAGCGCUCACAGAGACGCAGAGCAAGUACAAAGAGAGCGGGAAGAAAAAUAUCUCCCAAAUCAUCUAUCCGGUCUAGCUGAUACCAUGGAUACCCAAUCUGUCAGAAAUGUGUCUGAACUGCAAAGUCAGGUGAAAAGAGCAGCAGACGAAGUACAAGAAAGCAGUGGAGAAGAAGGCAAGGUCUCUCUACUCUGUGAUGCGAGAGACUCUGGAGACCCAACAUGCCAAGCGGUCUCCCAGCUCCAGAGCCAGGCCAAGUACAAGGAGGCAGGGAAGCAGCAGUUCUCCACUUCUCUCUACUUAAAGCUUCCAGAGACUUUGGAGACUCAGCACGCACAAGAGGCCUCCCAGCUACAGAGCGUGCUGAAAUACAAGCAAGGUGGCUAAAAGGAUACCUCCAGUUCUCUGUACUCCCUGCUUCCAGAAACGACAGAGAUCCAGCUAGCCAAAGAGCAACAGGAUAUUUACAGUGAGCAAAAUGACAAAAGUGACACGCAGGAACUGUCCAUCUGCUUGUACACACAACUCCCUGAAACCAUGGAGACCAAGUUUGCUGAAGAAAUGUCUCAAGAAAUGUCUCAGUCUAAAUACAAGGAGGCAGGGAAGAAACAGGCUUCAGGUUCUCUGGACUCCACCUUAUCAAAACUAUGGAGACCCAGCACACCGAAGAGGCUUCCCAGCUACAGAAAUCUGUACUAGGACAAGUACAACGCAGAGAAGGGCCAGUUACAUCACCAUGGAGAUCUUACCAGAGGUCUCCCACGCUAUGGAAGUCAACAAACAGAAAAGCAAAGUCAACUACAGAAUGGGAAAACAGAACACAAUUUCACCACUUUGACAGACAGGCCGGAUAUCUUGAAUGCCAAACAGGCCAAUGAACUGGCCUGCAACGUGGCCUAUAGGAGUAAAACAAAGCAUUACAGCUACACUGAUGUCCUGGGAAGGUCUGAUAUCGAGCAUGCCAAUGUGGCCUCCAAACUCACUAGCCAGGUGAAGUCUAAGACCAAUCAGAACCAGGUGAUUGAGGGAUCCAUGGACCUGCCCAUCCUUCUGCACCUGGAGUACAUGCUACACGCUACCAAGCUGCAGAGCAACGUAAAGUACAAGAAGAAGUACGAGCGGUGUAACGGACACUACUAUAUAGCACUGGACACAACAGAACAGCAAGAGAAUGCGGUACUGCACAGCUAGAUGGAGUACAGGAGGGAUGGACUGAAGGUGAAGGGGAGGGGGCUCUCAGGUCUGUGAUUGGAGGACACACCAGGCCUCAUACGGGCUAAAUACGCCACAUCCUCAAUGAGAAAGAGUACCGCAAGGACCUGGAGAAUGACAUCAUGGGUAAAGGCAUGGAGAUCAGUGGUGACGUGCUGGAGAGGCAGAGGGCCAAGAAGGCCACUGAGUUAACCAGCCAGGUGAAAUACAGAGACGGGGUCGGGAGCGGGACAGAAGUCAUGGAAACUGUUGACAUGGAGAGGGUCCGCAGAAACCAGGAGAACAUCAGCUUGGUGAAGUAUAAAAAGCAGCUGCAGGCCACCAGUGUGGGAGUCACCCCAGAGUUGGAGCGAGUCCGUCAGAACCAGGAGAACAUCAGCUCAGCAAGUCACAUAGGCUGCAUCUGAAAUGGCAACCUACAGUAUAUGUGAAGUACCAGCGCGGGAUGAAGGAGAUGAAGGGGCAGUCCUGCGGCGAGUUGGACACGCCCGGACUGAGUAGUGUCAGGGAGUCCCAGAACGACAUCUAACACGACUGAAGCGCACCGCAUGUGGGACUGCUGCACUUUUAACCCACACAGCUAAAGAGUUAACAAGGAAACAGCCAUGCUGUUUUGAGGGAGCCAUAAUGAAUGUACUGUAUUGUGUCUGUGAGCGUGUCUGUGAGCGUGUCUGUGUGUGUGUUACUAAUAAAGUGAUUUUUACAUGG